rnacentral:ncRNA from 2 species
CUCUUAUCAAGAGAGGUGGAGGGACUGGCCCGAUGAAACCCGGCAACCCCGCAUAUGCUUGCGGACAAGGUGCUAAUUCCAGCAGAGCGGUAUGCGCUCUGAAAGAUAAGGG